rnacentral:rRNA from 1 species
ACUGAUGUUGCUAAGGCGCGGUCUGAGGGAGUCCGCCACCGUGGGAUUGAGGCACGACGGGUCCUCGAGGGCAGCCAGUGGGAAUUUCCCCAAUGGGGGAAUCUUAUGCAGCCAUACGCGUGGUGAAAGAAGGCCUUCGGGUUGUAAAGCUAUUUUAUGUAGGGGAGGGAACGUUCCGUAGUGAAUAACUGUGGCUCUUUGACCGUUACCUGCCAGAGGAAAGCCCCGGUAAUUUCGUGUCAAGCAGCCGGCGGUAAUACGGAGGGGUGCAAGCCGUUAUUCGGGAUUUAUUGGGGGUUAAGGGGACGCCAGGUGGUUUAUUAAAGUCGAUGUGGAAGCCCCCGGGUUCAACCUUGGAAUGUCCAUUAGAUACUCGUAGAUUGAAUUUCGUAGGAGGAAGUGAAUUUCAUGGGUAGCGGGGGAAAGGGUAGAGAUUUGGAGGAAAUCCCGUUGGGGAGGGGGCCCUUUUGGCAUAAUAUGGCCCUCAGGGGCAAAGCCUUGGGGACCAACAAGAUUAGGUUUCCCUUGUUAUUCCCGCCGUUAACGAUGGUGAAUUAGAGGUUGUGGCCUUUCGGCCUUUAGUGGCGAAGUUAACGCCUUAAGCAAUCCGCCUGGGGGGUACGGCCGCAAGGCUAAAACUCAAAGGAAUUGCCGGGGGCCCCCCCAAGCGGUGGGCCAUGUGGUUUAAUUGGAAGCAACGGGGAGAACCUUACCCGGCCUGGACAUUCUUGAAUCCUCCCUGAGAUUGGGGGUUUCUUUGGGGAUCCGAGCUCCAGGGUUCCCUGGUUGUGGUUAGUUGUUUUGUGAGGAUUUGGUUAAGUUCCGCAAAGGAACCAAACCCUUUCCUUUAUUUCCGCCCGUAAAGGUGGGAACUCAAGGGAGACUGCCGGUGAUAAACCGGAGGAAGGCGGGGAUGACGUCAAGUCAUCAUGGCCCUUACGGCCAGGGCUACACACGUGCUACAAUGGCGGGUACAAAGGGUUGCAAGCUAGCGAUAGGGAGCGAAUCUCAAAAAGCGUUUCGUAGUCCGGAUUGGAGUCUGCAACUCGCCUCCAUGAAGUCGGAAUCGUUAGUAUUCGCGGAUCAGAAUGCCGCGGGGAAUACGUUCCCGGGCCUUUUUCACACCGCCCGUCACACCAUGAGAGUUGGUACCACCCGAAUUAUAUAGUUUAACCUUUUGAGCCCGCCUACCACGGUGUGACUAGAGACUGGGGGAAGUAAGAUACUUCCAUACCUUGGUUCC